rnacentral:rRNA from 1 species
UACGUAGGGUGCAAGCGUUGUCCGGAAUUAUUGGGCGUAAAGAGCUCGUAGGCGGUCUGUUGCGUCGGCUGUGAAAACCCGGGGCUCAACCCCGGGCCUGCAGCCGAUACGGGCAGACUAGAGUUCGGCAGGGGAGACUGGAAUUCCUGGUGUAGCGGUGAAAUGCGCAGAUAUCAGGAGGAACACCGGUGGCGAAGGCGGGGU